GAUGAACGCUAGCGGCAGGCUUAAUACAUGCAAGUCGAGGGGUAGCAAGAUUGUAGCAAUACAAUUGUUGACGACCGGCAAACGGGUGCGGAACACGUACACAACCUUCCUACAAGUGGGGAAUAGCCCAGAGAAAUUUGGAUUAAUACCCCGUAACAUAGCGAUGUGGCAUCACAUUGCUAUUAUAGCUUCGGCGCUUGUUGAUGGGUGUGGCGGCUGAUUAGAUCGUUGGCGGGGUAACGGACCACCAAGUCUACGUUCAGUAGCUGAUGUAAGAGCAAUAUCAUACACACGGGCAGUGGGAACAGGGCACGACUCCUACGGGAGGUAGCAAGAAGGAAGAUUGGACAAUGGGCGCAAGUCUGAUCCAGCCAUGCCGCGUGAAGGAAUAAGGGCCUCUGGAUUGCAAACAUCUUUUAUAAGGGACGAAAAAAGGUCGUUCUAGAUCGUCUGACGGUACCUUAUGAAUAAGCACCGGAUAACUCCGUGCCAGCCGCCGCAGUAAUAC
rnacentral:rRNA from 1 species